rnacentral:rRNA from 1 species
GUGCCAGCCGCCGCGGUAAUACCGGCAGCCCAAGUGAUGACCGAUCUUAUUGGGCCUAAAGCGUCCGUAGCUGGCUACGCAAGUCCGUCGGGAAAUCCACUCGCCCAACGAGUGGGCGUCCGACGGAAACUGCGUAGCUUGGGACCGGAAGGCUCGAAGGGUACGUCCGGGGUAGGAGUGAAAUCCCGUAAUCCUGGACGGACCGCCGAUGGCGAAAGCACGUCGCGAAGACGGAUCCGACAGUGAGGGACGAAAGCUAGGGUCUCGAACCGGAUUAGAAACCCCGGUAGUCC